rnacentral:rRNA from 1 species
GAAGUUAGAGUAUUAAGAGGUAGAUACCCUCGUAAUUCUAACCUUAAACGAUACCAUCUUAAUCUUAGCCAAUGUAAUUUAUUACUUGGUUAGGAUUAAACCGGGAAACCAAAGCCAUUUGGUUCCGGGGGGAGUAUGGUUGCAAAAUCGAAACUUAAAGGAAUUGACGGAGGGGCACCACCAGGAGUGGAGCCUGCGGCUUAAUUUGACUCAACACGGGGAAACCUACCAGGUCCAGACAUCUUAAGGAUUGACAGAUAGAAUCUCUUUCAUGAUUAGAUGGGCGGUGGUGCAUGGCCGUUCUUAGUUAGUGGAGUGAUUCGUCUGGUUAAUUCCGAUAACUAACGAGUUCUCUUCCAUCUAACUAGUAGAUGACACUUAUUGUGUUGUCAAGACUUCUUAGAGGAACUAAGUACAAUUAAAUAGUACUAGUGAAGUGAGAUUAUAACAGGUCUGUGAUGCCCUUAGAUGUCCUGGACCGCACGCGCGCUACAAUGCUUGCUUUAAUGUGUUGAUAACUCUCUAAGCCGAGAUGGUUUUGGGAAAUCGUUAAAAGUAUAAGGAUGUUCUUAGUGGGGAUCAACUAUUGUAACUAGUAGUUGUGAACUCGGAAUUCCUAGUACUUAGAUUUCACCAGAAUCUAGGGAUUACGUCCCUGCCCUUUGUACACACCGCCCGUCGCUACUACUGAUUGGUUGCUUAAGCGAGUAACUUGGAGGCUGCCAGCUGAUCGCUUCGGUGGUCUCUGGUAUGCUGAAGAGUGUCGAGCUUAAAUGACUA